UAACAAUAAUAAUAAUAAUGAUUUGCCUAAAAAGGGUACAUCUGCUUUUCUGAGGCUUUAUGGUCCUAAAGACCCUUUGAACAAUGCUUCCUACAUAAACGUGGGGGCUUCUUGCCUUUCUAAAACCCUGGCAGCUUUGUGAGUCAUCAGAGGGCAUCAAGGCAGACAGUUCCAAACUAAGCCUCUCGGUUCAUCUGUGUGUCCAAGAUGUUUUGAAUGCUGUCUUCCCUUUCUUUCCUGAAGUGCUCUAUGUUUGCAUGAAAAUAGUUGGUAGAGUGGAAAACUUUGUGGAUUACUGAUGGAGCAUGAUAGCGAUGUGGGUUCCAGUUGCAGCCCUGCCAUGGAUUAAUAAUGGACAAAAUACAGAAGUUACAGAUCCUCUGUGCCUCAGUUUUUUUCAGCCUGGAUAAUAUGAAUACUUAUCUAUUCCAAAAGAUAUUGCAAAACUUUAAUAAUGUUGCCUUUUACAGCAAUGCAACUGAAUCUUAUCAAUGAAACAAAUACUAGUUAAAAGCUAAAAGUCAAUUUGAAGUGAAUAGUGGUAGAGCAUUUUAUUGAAAAGAUUCUUGAUAUCAUUCAGUAUUAUGCUGAGGCUUUCUUUUAUUAAUGUUUUGUAGGUUCCUAAGACUCCUGGGUAUAAGAUACUACAGAACUGCAAAUUACUGUUACUUACUGCUCAUUCUGUCUUCUGUGUGUAGCCUCUGGCAGUACACCAAAAGCAGAAGGAGAGAAGUUCCAUUAAAAGCUGCAUUUUAAUUUGGAUUAAACUCCACACCACGGUGGCUUCCAGACUAGAGCUGGACUGGCUGUAUUUGAUGAGGGUUUGCAAGCCACUAGAACUGGUACCCACUGGGGAUUCUUUGAAUUCUGCUGACUGACUACACUGGUAAGAGUAAAGGGGGGAUAACAUUGAGCAGUGUAUGGAGAUACAAAGCAAUUAAAAACCAGCAGUGUCUUCACUGACAAGUAACAGAAACAAGAAUUUAGUUUCUAUUGUUAUUUGUCAUAUACUCUAAUGUACUGUUGCUGAAAUAAUAUUUACUUUUUG
rnacentral:lncRNA from 1 species